rnacentral:tRNA from 1 species
ACCUUGGUAGUGCGUCUGCCUUGUAAGCGCUAGGCCGCGGGUUCGAUUCCCGCCCGGGGCG